rnacentral:rRNA from 1 species
AUUGAACGCUAGCGGCAUGCUUUACACAUGCAAGUCGAACGAGUGGCGGACGGGUGCGUAAUAUAUCGGAACGUGCCCAGUAGCGGGGGAUAACUCCUCGAAAGAUUGGCUAAUACCGCUUACUAUUGGCGCGCCCCAUAUCGGAUUAGCUAGUUGGUGGGGUAAAGGCUCCCCAAGGCAACGAUCCGUACCUGGUUUGAGAGGACGACCAGCCACACUGGGACUGAGACACGGCCCAGACUCCUACGGGAGGCAGCAGUGGGGAAUUUUGGACAAUGGGUGAAACCCUGAUCCAGCCAUCCCGCGUGUAUGAGAAGGCCUUCGGGUUGUAAAGUACUUUUGGCAGAGAAGCGGUAUCGGCAGAAUAAGCACCGGCUAACUACGUGCCAGCAGCCGCGGUAAUAG